rnacentral:rRNA from 1 species
GAUGAACGCUAGCGGCAGGCCUAACACAUGCAAGUCGAGGGGCAGCACAUAAAGUGGUUUACUACUUUUGGUGGCGACCGGCGGACGGGUGCGUAACGCGUAUGCAACCUGCCUCCAACAGGGGGAUAACGGAGAGAAAUUUCCACUAAUACCCCAUAAUAUCAGAAUCGGCAUCGGUUUUGGUUGAAAACUCCGGUGGUUGGAGAUGGGCAUGCGUUGUAUUAGAUAGUUGGUGAGGUAACGGCUCACCAAGUCAACGAUACAUAGGGGGACUGAGAGGUUAGCCCCCCACACUGGUACUGAGACACGGACCAGACUCCUACGGGAGGCAGCAGUGAGGAAUAUUGGUCAAUGGGGGCAACCCUGAACCAGCCAUGCCGCGCGCAGGAAGACGGCUCUAUGAGUUGUAAACUGCUUUUACAAGGGGAUAAAUCGGUGUACGUGUACACCGUUGAAGGUACCUUGGGAAUAAGGAUCGGCUAUCUCCGUGCCAGCCGCCGCGGUAA